rnacentral:rRNA from 1 species
GGUAGUUGGUGUGGUAACGGCGCACCAAGCCGACGAUCCGUAGCUGGUCUGAGAGGAUGAUCAGCCACACUGGGACUGAGACACGGCCCAGACUCCUACGGGAGGCAGCAGUGGGGAAUAUUGGACAAUGGGCGCAAGCCUGAUCCAGCAAUGCCGCGUGAGUGAUGAAGACCUUAGGGUUGUAAAGCUCUUUCGCACGCGACGAUGAUGACGGUAGCGUGAGAAGAAGCCCCGGCUAACUUCGUGCCAGCAGCCGCGGU